rnacentral:lncRNA from 1 species
ACUGAGGAGAUGAAAAGAGAGACAACUUCAAUAAAGAGCUCAGCGGAGAAGAUGAACAAAGAGACAGCCUUGAAAAUAAAUAACUCAGCUGAGAAGAUGAAGAAAGAAACAUCAUUAAAUAGCUCAGCUGAGAAGAUGAGACAAGAGACAGCUGCAGAAAAUGGUUCAGCUGAAAAGAUGAAGAAAGAGACAGCCUUGACAGUAAAUAUCUCAGCUGAGAAGAUGAACAAAGAGACAGCCUUGACAAUAAAUAACUCAGCUGAGAAGAUGAACAAAGAGAUGGCCAGGACAGUGAAUAGCUCAGCUGAGAAGAUGAGACAAGAGACAGCUACAGUAAAUGGCUCGGCUGAGAAGAUGAAGAAAGAGACGGCCUUGACAGUAAAGAGCUCGAACGAGAAGGUGAAGAAAGAAACAGCCUUGACAGUAAAUAACUCGGCUGAGAAGGUUAAGAAAGAGAUCGCUUCAACAGUGAAUGGCUCAG